AUUUGGAGUUUAUAUGAAGAAGAUAUAGGCACUCAAAGUUAAGGUGUUGAUUUGGGAGCUACUGUCACUCUUUUUACCACAAGAGGGUUUUGGAAGUUGGUAGUUUUGGAUCGGGUAGGAUUUCUAUAAUAUGAGAAGAUCUAUUAGUUGGAUCAAGGUGAAAUUUGGCAUAUUAUUGGAAGAAUUGAAGAUUAAGCUACAAACCAAUUUUGAGUUGAAGUUAAUGGUUGAAAAAGAAAAAAUCACUGCUGGAACAUUUGCAUCACCUUUCAAGUUGAUCGCUAAGUGACAUCAGUGUAAUUUUUGGAGAUUUUUUCAAAAUUUGUAAGUUAGAUUCCAUUGAAAUUUCUUACACAGAUAGAAGACUUAUAUUGAAAAUUGCAUACAAAAUUUCAUAUCAAGUGAAUCAUCGGAUUAGAAGAUAUUACUUAUCAAAGUUUACUGAUUAGAGUUGGGGUUUACAAGAAAAUUCUAAAUUCCUUAAAUAUGAAAGUAACAAGAUAAUUUGGAUUUAUGUAUGAUUGAGGUUACUAAGAAGAGUGUUUUUCACCUUUUUUGACUUGAAAUUCAGAUUAUAUU
rnacentral:lncRNA from 1 species